GGAAUGGCCGGACAUGGCGCUGGCGGCCCCGGCGCUCCGGCGGUACCUGCUGCUGCUGGCGCAGGAGCACCUCGAGUUUCGCCUGCCGGAAAUAACAUCUUUGCUCUCGCUUUACGGUGGACAAUUCAGCAGCGAGCAGGAAAUUCGUGUAAAUUCUCCAUUUUGGAUUCUCAGUAUUCCUUCAGAAGAGAUGGCGAGGGGACUAAUGAAACGGACAGUAUGUGCAAAGUCUAUAUUUGAACUGUGGGGUCAUGGAAGAUCUGCAGGGGAGCUCUAUGCAUGUCUGAAGAACUAUCCAAUGGACAAGAUGCUUCCAUAUCUACAGUCAGACUCUACUUACAAAGUACACAUUCAUACAUUUAAUAAAACACUGACCCAAGCACAGAAAGUUAAAAAGAUAGAUGCCCUUGAAUUUCUGCCAUUCAAAGGAAAAGUAAAUUUAAAGAAUCCAGAACACAUCUUCUGGAUUUUGGAAGAUUAUGGAAUGGAUCCUAAUAAUGUUCCAGAAGAGCCCUUUCACCUGUAUUUUGGUAGAUGGAUUGCAGAUGGCCAAAGAGAACUUAUCGAGUCCUAUAGUGUAAAAAAGAGACACUUCAUUGGAAAUACGAGCAUGGAUGCCUGCCUGUCUUUCAUUAUGGCAAACCAUGGGAGAGUAAAACCCAAUGAUGUAGUGUAUGAUCCAUUUGUUGGAACAGGUGGCCUUCUAAUCUCCUCAGCUCACUUUGGAGCGUAUGUGUGUGGUGCUGAUAUAGAUUACAACACAAUCCAUGGAUUAGGCAAGGCAAGCAGAAAGAACCAGAAAUGGAGAGGACCAGAUGAAAAUAUCAGAGCUAAUCUCCGACAGUAUGGUUUAGAGAAAUAUUACCUUGAUGCACUAGUUUCUGACUCUUCAAGACCAAUAUGGCGAAAAGGGAUGCUGUUUGAUGCAAUCAUUACAGAUCCACCAUAUGGUAUCAGAGAAGCUACUCGCAGAACGGGUUCACAAAAGGAAACAGUUAAGUCAGCUGAAAGAAGCACAGACAAUCACAUCUUCGUUUCAUCCAGUUAUCAUCUAAGUGACAUCUUUUUUGACCUGUUGAAGUUUGCGGCAGAAUAUCUGGUGAUGGGAGGAAGAUUAGUUUAUUGGCUGCCGAUUUACAGGCCUGAGUAUGUAUUCUUGAUUUCUGAUACACAGAAGAGAUCAUUCCCCGCCACCCAUGCCUGAAACUUAUUAGCAACUGUGAGCAGAUGCUUUCCAGCCACACAUCAAGGCGCCUGAUAACCAUGGAAAAGGUGAAAGAAUUCAAGGAUCAAGAUCAGCAUUCUUACUUGUUGGAUGGUCAAUAUAUGCCAUACAGGGGACACAAUUCUUUCCGUGAGAAGUAUUUCAGUGGUGUGACGAAGAGGAUUGCCAAGGAAGAAAAAGACAAUCAGAAGUAAAAUAUAAUAUAAACAGAUUAAAAAAUGAGGAAAGAAUGAAGAUUGUGUUUCUUUGUAAGGACAUCUGGAUAUGAACAUUCAUUUGGAUGCUUCAGAAAAAUAAAUACUGCUUUUAAUUUUAAAACAAGAUGAAACCCACAACACAGGUUAGAGCAGUUCUUUUUAAUUAGCUUUGUUUAUAGCAGAUUUUAUUGUACAAGCUUUUUGAGUCUUAUUUAAUUUAUAUGUGUACUUUCAAGUACUAAUGAUGAUUGACUAAAACCAUUAUUAUUGUUCUUUCACCAUUAACGUUUACAAAAAAGUAGUAGUAUUAUUUGGCUUCUUAAACUGUGAACAUCUGGCUGUUUUAGAAACACGUGGUGGUGAUCAUUUUCAUUUGUUUUGUUUUUUUGUAAAUGGUAUACAAUAAAACAAAAGAUU